rnacentral:rRNA from 1 species
AUGAUGGUUGGACAAGAAAUAAUCUGUCUUAAAUUAAUAUAUUGAAUUUAACUUUUAAGUGAAAAGGCUUAAAUAAUCUGAAGGGACGAUAAGACCCUAUAAAACUUUAUAUUUAUAAGGUAGUAAUUAGUUUUAUUUAAUGAUAUUAUUUUGGAGUAUUUGGUUGGGGUGACAAGGAUAAAAUAUACAAUAAUUGUCUUUUUUUUUUUUACAGUUAUAUUUGGUUUAAUGAUCCUAAAAGGGAUUUAAAAUUAAGUUACUUUAGGGAUAACAGCGUAUUUUUCUUUAAAAGUUCUUAUCGACAAAAAAGUUUGCGACCUCGAUGUUGAAUUAAAAGUUCUUUAUAAAGUAAAAAUUAUAAUAAAAGGUCUGUUCAACCUUUAAAAUUUUACAUGAUUUGAGUUCAAACCGGUGUGAGCCAGGUUGG